GGUGGUGAUAAUCUUCUUCAUAGGAGAUUUUUGUAACAGAGCUCUGUGUCAUUUUUCCAAGAUCUUUUCUUCUCCUCUCAAUCUAUCUCCUUCUUCCAAAAUCACAGAGCCCACACCUCCUCAUAUUCUCUUCCUCUGUAGAGGAUAUAGAGGAAGAUUUUGUGGUGGUGGCCAUCUUGGAUCGUGAUUGUUCGUGAUCGUAACGGAGAAAAUUCGUGAAGAAAAUUCCAGUUCUUCAAGGGUUGAUUCCCGCUUCUGCUACGGAACUUCACAAUUCCUUCCAUUGGUAUCAGAGACAGUGUUUUUCUAGAGAAAACGAGGCCCAAAUUGGAGGAAUUUCGACAGAAUUUGCAAUUGUACAAUGGCAACUAUAGAGUAGUGUUGCAACCAACGUUGCAACACUGCGAACAGUGAAUGGAAGAAUUUUCGUAGCAUUGUAACGCUAGGUCACAGCGUUGCAACGCUCCGAGGAGGAACUUUUUUUGGUUCGUGUGCUAUUCGCUUUGAGUUGCAGUUGGUUCGUGUCCGGUUCGCUUGGUUCGAGCGGUUUGGUGCUAGGCGGUUCAGUUCGUGUGGUUCAAAGUUCGUUUCGCUUGUUUUGAAUUGGUUAAGCUAUUAGUUUGUAAUAGUUAGCUAUUUUUAAUUAAUUAAAUUAAUAUAAGUGUUAUAUUAAUUUAAUUAAUUAUUUAGGAG